rnacentral:rRNA from 1 species
UUUAAAUGGCCGCAGUAUAUUAACUGUGCAAAGGUAGCAUAAUCAUUAGUCUUUUAAUUGAAGGCUGGUAUGAAUGGUUGGACGAGGUAUUAACUGUUUCAUAUAAAUUUAUAUUAAAAUUUUAUUUUUUAGUCAAAAAGCUAAAAUUUAUUUAAAAGACGAGAAGACCCUAUAAAUCUUUAUAUUUAAUUUAUUAUUAUUUUGUAGAUUAUUUUUGUGAUAAUAUUGAUAAUAUUUUAUUGGGGUGAUAUUAAAAUUUAAUAAACUUUUAAUUAUUAAAUUCAUUAAUUUAUGUUUUAUUGAUCCAAUAUUAUUGAUUAAAAAAUUAAGUUACUUUAGGGAUAACAGCGUAAUUUUUUUGGAGAGUUCUUAUCGAAAAAAAAGAUUGCGACCUCGAUGUUGGAUUAAGAUAUAAUUUUAGGUGUAGUCGCUUAAAUUUUAAGUCUGUUCGACUUUUAAAUUCUUAC